rnacentral:rRNA from 1 species
UACGUAGGGGGCAAGCGUUGUCCGGAAUCAUUGGGCGUAAAGCGCGUGUAGGCGGCUCGGUAAGUCUGCUCUGAAAGUCCAAGGCUCAACCUUGGGAUGCGGGUGGAUACUGCCGGGCUCGAGUCCGGAAGAGGCGAGUGGAAUUCCUGGUGUAGCGGUGAAAUGCGCAGAUAUCAAGAGGAACACCGGUGGCGAAGGCGGAUCUCUGGGCCUUACCUGACGCUGAGGCGCGAAAGCUAGGGGAGCGAACAGG